rnacentral:rRNA from 1 species
UACGUAGGUCCCGAGCGUUAUCCGGAAUUAUUGGGCGUAAAGGGUGCGCAGGUGGUUAUGUAAGUCUGGUGUGAAAUUUUUGGGCUCAACCCAAAAAGGUCAUUGGAAACUGCAUAACUUGAGAGCAGGAGAGGUAAGUGGAAUUCCUAGUGUAGCGGUGAAAUGCGUAGAGAUUAGGAGGAACACCAGUGGCGAAGGCGGCGACCUGGACAGGCACUGACACUCAACUACGAAAGCGUGGGGAGCAAACAGG